rnacentral:rRNA from 1 species
GUCUACGGCCAUACCACCCUGAACGCACCCGAUCCCGUCUGAUCUCGGAAGCUAAGCAGGGUGGGGCCUGGUUAGUACUUGGAUGGGAGAUACUAUCUUAUACCUGUCAGAAUGGAUA